GCCUGACUGGCUCAGUUGGUAGAACAUGUGACUCUUGAUCUCGGGGUCAUGAGUUCAAGCCCCACGUUGGGCG
rnacentral:tRNA from 1 species